UACGUAGGUGGCAAGCGUUGUCCGGAUUUAUUGGGUUUAAAGGGUGCGUAGGCGGUCUUUUAAGUCAGUGCUGAAAUAUCCCGGCUUAACCGGGAGGGUGGCAUUGAUACUGAAGGACUUGAGUACAGUCGAGGUAGGCGGAAUUGACGGUGUAGCGGUGAAAUGCUUAGAUAUCGUCAAGAACACCGAUAGUGUAGACAGCUUACUAGGCUAAAACUGACGCUGAGGCACGAAAGUGUGGGGAUCAAACAGG
rnacentral:rRNA from 1 species